GACGAACGCUGGCGGCGUGCUUAACACAUGCCAGUCGAACGGAAAGGCCCUGCUUUUGUGGGGUGCUCGAGUGGCGAACGGGUGAGUAACACGUGAGUAACCUGCCCUUGACUUUGGGAUAACUUCAGGAAACUGGGGCUAAUACCGGAUAGGAGCUCCUGCUGCAUGGUGGGGGUUGGAAAGUUUCGGCGGUUGGGGAUGGACUCGCGGCUUAUCAGCUUGUUGGUGGGGUAGUGGCUUACCAAGGCUUUGACGGGUAGCCGGCCUGAGAGGGUGACCGGCCACAUUGAGACGGAGAGAGAGCCCAGACUCAUACGGGAGGCAGGAGGGAGGAGUAUAGCACGAUGGACGGAAGCCUGAUGGAGGAACGCCGCGUGCGGGAAGGCGGCAUUCGGGUUGUAAACCGAUUUCGCCUGUGACGGAGCGUGAGUGACGGUAAUGGGGAAAGAAGCACCGGUUAACUACGU
rnacentral:rRNA from 1 species